CAGAUUAAACCAUGAACUGCACGAAGAAACCGUGGGAAAGAAAGCAGAAGAACUAUUCAGAAGACAUCUGUUGAAUACUGAUGACGAUGCGUAUCCAGAUGCAUAUCCACGUGAGCCGAGAGGUGGAUGAAGCUGGAUAAAGUACUGACUACAAUGGGCACUGGAAUAACUGGCCCUGCUUCGUCAACAGUUCCAGCAACGCUAAAAGAAGCCAGUCCUGGGACCACGAGCAGCCGGUCUCACUCCAGAGCUGUCACAGG